rnacentral:rRNA from 1 species
CCUACGGGUGGCUGCAGUGGGGAAUAUUGCACAAUGGGCGCAAGCCUGAUGCAGCCAUGCCGCGUGUGUGAAGAAGGCCUUCGGGUUGUAAAGCACUUUCAGCGGGGAGGAAGGCGUUAAGGUUAAUAACCUUGGCGAUUGACGUUACCCGCAGAAGAAGCACCGGCUAACUCCGUGCCAGCAGCCGCGGUAAUACGGAGGGUGCAAGCGUUAAUCGGAAUUACUGGGCGUAAAGCGCACGCAGGCGGUCUGUCAAGUCGGAUGUGAGAUCCCCGGGCUCAACCUGGGAACUGCAUUCGAAACUGGCAGGCUAGAGUCUUGUAGAGGGGGGUAGAAUUCCAGGUGUAGCGGUGAAAUGCGUAGAGAUCUGGAGGAAUACCGGUGGCGAAGGCGGCCCCCUGGACAAAGACUGACGCUCAGGUGCGAAAGCGUGGGGAGCAAACAGGAUUAGAUACCCCAGUAGUC